UGUAGGGUGAACUGUCUUGAAAUAGGGAUACUAUCUAUCUUUUAUUCUAAAAGAAAUGAUAGAUAGUUUUUCCUUCAAGUCAAGUGUCUUG
rnacentral:pre_miRNA from 1 species